UAUUAGGUUGGUGCAAAAGUAAUUGCGGUUUUGGCCAUCACUUUCGAUGGCAAAAACCGCAAUUACUUUCGCACCAACCUAAUACUU
ensembl:miRNA